GAUGCUGCUCAAAUGCCAAUUGGGCAACCCAAGUGUCCUUGAGCCCACAAAGAUAGAGAAUGCCGUGAGUCACUGCCACGUGUCCGAGGUAGUCGAAGGGAUUGCUCCGUUCGUUAACCUACAAAACAAUUGAAACACUAGAUGACACGCCGGGUUUGGCCCGGCGAUUAUCCUCCGACGCUCAAGUCAGAAGAUGUAUUAAUAUAAGCAAAUAAUAAUUAUUAAUUGCCAAAUUAGAGUGUACCUUUCUAUGUGAAAUGACACAUACAUUUAUAGGUGGAUGAAUAGGUAGGACUUUUUGUAAAAAUCCGAUGUGGGACAAUGUGUUGUUACUUUUAUAGGUAAAAAGUAAUCUAAUUGAGUUUUCACACAAUUAGAUUAAUUUAGGGCAAUUUGGGCCUAAUCUUAAUUAGGUUUAUGGGCCUAAUUAUGAUUAGACACAUCAUUAAGCCCCCCACUUCCAAGUUGGGUCAUGGGCUUGUGAGCCUAGUUGGAAGUAGUAUAUAAGCCCAUCCAUGCCCUUGUAGGGUUUUUUAUUUUGGAUUCUUGUGGUUUCUUCUUCCAGAAUUGUGCUAGCGAGAUUUAAAAAUAAUUGGCGAACUUCCAAAGGUAUAAAUAUUUUUUGCAAAUCCUCACUUUUUUAUUCGAGUCCUUGUGUCGUUGGUUUUACCCGUAUUUUGUCGUUUGGAGCCUCGAAAUUGCGUUUGAUAUAGGCGUAGGAAUUUAAUGUCGGGUCUAAGGUUGUUGGACGAGUCUAGCGACGAACUAUGUGGAGUUCAUUCGGAAUCCGAUAAUUUUGAAGAUGGGAAUUCGAAAAAUCUUGAUAGCCGGGUGGAAAGAGGUCGAAAUUUGGAGUCCAGGAGUACCAAUUUUGUGAAAUUCGGAGUUGCGAGCGAGAAGUUAUGUGCGAAACAGUGUAAUGGUUCGUUGUUCGAGAAAAAUUCCAGUACUGGCGGCUAUGGCAUUGAAUUCCGUGCCAGAAAGGAGGGGGUGACGUCAGCCCUGGGUGGCGUGACGUCACCGAGCGUGGAAAACUGUGCAGCUGGGCGGUCGGGCGGGUCAACUCGGGCGGAUCGAGCGAGUCGGGUGGGUGAGUCGACUCGGGCAGGCGGGUCGGACCGGUCGGGCUGGGCAACUCGGUCGGGUGAGUCGACUCAGUUGAGUGAGUCAACUCGGUCAGGGGAAUCGGGCGAGUCAACUCGGAUGAACGGGGUAACUCGGGCGGGAGUGCGGUGUGACGUCAGCGUGACGUCACACGGAGGGGGGCCUGGGAAUGCCGGGCGCGUGGAGCGCGUGUUGCGCGUGGAGCGCGUGGGCGGGGACCACCCGGGGCGCGUGGGGCGCGUGGGGCGCGUGGGAACAGCUGCUGGGAGCUGUUCUGCGCGUGGAGGCGCGUCCGGGCCGUUUCCGGCGCGUGUGGAGCGCGUGCAGGGCCGUUCGGAGUCCGUUUUUUCCGCCGAACCCCGUGUUUCAGCUCCCAACCCUGAUGUGGGCCCGGAGUUUCGUUCCGUGGAGUUAGAAUGUAGCGAUCCUGAGACUUGGGCGUGGUCUCGACGGAUUAAUGUGUUUGGGACGAACUUUUCUCUAAAAAAUUCCGUGGUUCGUGGGUCGAAGAGAAGACGUGAAUUCGAGGUGGACGAGAGCGUGUUGACCGAUGAGGAAGAAGAAUUAACCGAUUUUUCCGGCGGUAGUGUUUCUGAGGAAUAUUCAGGAAUAUGUGCCGAAUUAAAUUUCGACUCUUCCUUUAGAGUUGGUCAACUGCCCGAGAUUCUGGACUAUCUACGUGUCGAGCAUGCUAUUGAGAUAUCGGUUCCGUGUAAGGGGGAGAGAUGUUAUGCCCCUCCUGAUGGCUACUUUACGGUAUUCCUUGCAUCAUUUUCGGUUGGAUUUACUUUGCCACCUCAUCCGGUUCUUGUUAAAAUUUGUCGAGAUGUGAAGGUGAGCCUCAGUCAAUUAACGCCGAACGCAUUUCUUUACUUCAAAGGGUUUUGUCAUCGCGCUGAGUCCGAGGGUUUUCCAAUUUCAGCGAAUUUAUUUCACUCCAUGUUUCUUGUGAAACCGCUGAGGGACAAAGCGCCUAAUUUUCAUUUUCAUCCUCGGCCGAAAUGCAAGUUUUUGAAGAAAAAUGAGAAUAAAUGGGGGAGUUGGAAGGAGUGGUUCCUAUACGUGCGGAAUGAUUGGGAAGUUCCUUCUGUAUGGGGUGAAGUGCGUCCCGUUGAGUGGAGUAAUGAACACUCGAGACUCAAAAUGGAUUGUAUCGGAAUGGGUUUUUUCGAUUAUUUCUUCGACCCUUUGACUUUAUUUUCUAAGGGUAGAGGAGUUGUGCUGUAUUGAUUGCUCCGUCCUCUUUCUUUUUUCUUGAAACUAAUAUUUUUGUAUUUGCUGUUUUCGUGUUCUGCAGGUGAGACGAUGAGCUAUAAUGAUUUCAAACGUCGUUGCAUGAACAAUGGUGCCUCGAAGCCUGUAUCUCGAAACACACCUCCGGCCUCAAAGCCCGUGGCACGGGAGUCAGGAAGAGGCACUGCAGAGGAUCGAAGUAGUGGGAAAAAGCCAGUCCAUGGGGUGGGAUCGUCCCGUGGUCCGGAGGUGGCUGUGAAGAAGAGCGCUGGAGUCUCGGAUCCCAAAUCCGCCGACAAAGGUCGUCUUGCCAUUGUGAGUGCGCCCCCGCUGCCUUUGAGCGAGCUCAAGUCCCCCUCCGCGUCCGGGGAUACUCGUGUCGCCCCUAUCGUCGUGCGUGAAAAAAGGCCUCGCACCUUAGGAGUUGAGGAGUUGGUUCUACCGCCCGUUAAUGCAUGGAAAGGGAAUUUUGUUGCUGGUGUUGAUAGGACGCAAAAUGGUGGUUCGGUGUUUGACGUUCUUGAUAGCGCCUUGGCCAUGGAGAAGGUAAUGGGUUUCCCGACGGAGUUUGAUUCGACUCGUCUUGCCGGGAAACCUCUAGACGAGAUGAUCGAAGGGUUGGCGUCCUCCUUUGCUCGGGUUAGUAUCGGAUUUAUCAUGCACCUCUAUAUUUGAUUUAUUAUUACUAUUAAUAAUAAUAACUCCUGCCCCUUUUAUUUAUUUAUUUAUUUUUUAGACUAUGACUUUCGUGCCCUUGAUUAUUGAUCGCGGGAGGGGCUUGGAGGCUGAGCAUGCCAAGAUGCAAGCAGAGAAGUUGAACGUUAAUUCGUUGUAUGCGGGUGUUCAGGGUGUCAAUGCCUCCCUUCGCGCAGAGAUUGAAGGUUUGAAGAAGUCUCUGGAUGAAGAAAAAGGCAAGCUGAGUGCCUUGGAGAAGAAAUGUCAGAGCUUGGUGACACGUGCGGAUGAUGAAAAAUCGGCACGUCUGAAGGCCGAAGCUAGGAUUAAGGAUCUGAGCCUAUCUUUGAAGAAUGAGAAGACCGACGCGCUUUCUUUCAUGGAAGCCCAUAAGGGGUCGAAUGACGUCUUGAAAACGCCUUUGGGUUUGAUGGUGGUUGACAAGUUCUUAGGGAGCGAAUCUUAUAUCGAGCUACGGGAUAGUUAUGCUAGUGGGUUUUUUGCGGAGAUCGUGCGGGAUAUCCGCAGUCAAGUUCGUGCUACAAAGCUUGUCCCAGAGGCUAUCCUACGGGAGAUAGAGCCGAGCGUUUUGGAACUUGAGCCAGAAAUUGGGGCGGAGAAAAUUGGCGCCCUGGUUGAGGGCGAUGAGUUUGAUGAGAUGCCCGAGUCUGCUGGAGCUGAGAAUGCUAGCGUUAACCCGACUGCCUAGUAGUGUAGUCGUUUAUCAGUUUCUACUCGCUUGAGAGUAGUAGUAUUUUCCUUUACGACGUAUUUCUAAGACUUUAGUCUUUUCUAUGUUUUUUUUUAUUUUUUUAUUCGCACGUUUUUGCUUCAUGAAUGGAAUUUUACUUUUGUUUUAUUCCCAUUUCGCAAUUUUCGUGCUUUUUUGGUACUUAGUGGAUGAUCAGUCCCCUAAGUUUUUAUGUAGGGGCUCCGCAUUUUUGCCUUCUUUUCUUAAUUUAGGGCUGCGGAGUCGUUGAGAAUUUGAUUUCUCUAUCAACUUGUGCUUUGGGGAGUGAGAUAACAAAGUUCGAGUUGGCCAGACCCUUGUGAUCCUUGUUAUCUUCCCCUUUAGCAAGGACCUUUUUGUUUUUUUUUUUUUUUUUGUUGUUGUUUGGGAGUCGAGUGGUCACCCCUUUGAUUGAAGCACUUCAUAGUAAUAAUAAUAAAAAUACUAAUGAAUUUCAAUAGAAUAAACAAAAAUUAAUUGUCAUGACACAAAGGAAAACGGUCGCAGAUUAGAGUGGGCGGUAUGCCUCAAGCGAAAAUGUUUUAUUUAGCUUCACGUGGCAAACGAUAUGCUGCCAACUUAUUACAUAAUUUAAAAGCGUUGCGGCGAGCGGUAUGCUCGCGACUUAUUCCCUAGCUUAAGCGUUACAGCGAGCGAUAUGCUCCUGAUUUAUUAAAAACAAAGAAAAAUUGUUCGCCUAAAGUGCUAAGCGAAAUACUUCUUCAAAUUCCCUAUGUUCCAAGUCCUUGGAACUUGAUUGCCAUCCAUGUGCUGAAGCCGGUAAGCUCCGGCGUUGACCACUUGAGUAACUUUGUAGGGUCCUUCCCACUUUGGAUCCAACUUUCCGACAGCCUUUGAAAUCCCGACUCUUCGGAGUACCAAGUCUCCUACCUGAAAUGAUCUUGGUUUGACUCUUUGGUUAUAGGCUCGCGCCAUUCGAGCUUUGUAAGCUUCCAUUCGUAUAGUAGCGCCCUCUCUGACCUCGUCCACAAGAUCCAAACUUGCCCUUAUUGCCAGAUCAUUAUGCUGGAUUGAGUAAUUGGAUAUCCGCCAUGACGGUUGCCCUAUUUCAGCUGGUACGACGGCUUCCAUUCCAUAAGCAAGAUUGAAAGGUGAUUCACCGGUGGAGGUUCGGGGAGUUGUACGAUAAGCCCAUAAGACGCUAGGGAGUUCCUCAACCCAGGCGCCCUUUGCUUCUCCUAAUCUGGCUUUGAGGUGUUGCAGAAUUGUGCGGUUUGUAACUUCGGUUUGGCCGUUAGCUUGCGGGUUUCCUACUGAAGUGAAGAAUUGCUUGAUUGAUAGUCCUUCACACCAGUCCGCGACCUUGCUUCCGCAGAAUUGAGUUCCAUUAUCUGAUAUUAGGGCUCGUGGUAUCCCAAAUCGGCAUACCACAUUCUUCCAUAGGAACCGAAUGACGUCGGCCUCGGCUAUUUUAGCCAAGGGCUCCGCUUCCACCCACUUGGUGAAAUAGUCAACUGCUACAAUUAAGAAUUUGCGUUGUCCACUAGCUUGUGGGAAUGGCCCAACCAGAUCUAUCCCCCAUUGUGCGAAAGGAACUGGGCUGUCAAUUGGUUGGAGAAGAGAUCCAGGUACGUGAGUAAUGUUGGCGUGUAUUUGGCAAGCUCUACAUUUCUCCACUAAUUCUCUAGCGUCUUGACGCAUAGUCGGCCAGAAGUAUCCUUGACGUAACGCUUUGAUGGCUAGUGCUCGCCCUCCUAAGUGGUUCCCACAAAUGCCUUCAUGAAUUUCACGGAGAACAUAUCUUGCUUCGUCCGGUCCGAGACAUCUUAGGUAAGGUACCGAAAAACCUCUCUUGUAUAGCUCCUCCCCGAUAAGUAGGAAUCGAGCGGCUUUUAUUUUUAAUUUCCUCGCCGCUGCUCCGUCUUGAGGCAAUUCUGACGUGGAUAGAUAUUUUAUUAUCUCGUCCUUCCAACACGGAGUGUUACUAGUACAGAGGAUUUGUGUGCCUGUUUCUAUCUCGGGUUUGGCGGAAGAGAGAAAAGUGAUCUUGCGACUGUCGAGCUUUGACAUGGAACUCGCUAAGCGAGCCAAUUUGUCUGCCAUGGCAUUUUCGGCUCUAGGUAUUUGCCUGAUUUCCACCUUCUCGAAACUUUCCAUGAGGCGUUUGACCAACUCGAGGUACUUAAUCAUACUUUCUUCUUUGGCUUCGUAUGUGCCUAAGACUUGGUUUACUACUAGUUGGGAGUCACUGUGUGUAACCAACUUCUUAGCUCCGGCUGCUUGAGCUAACUUCAAUCCAGCUACAAGGGCUUCGUAUUCCGCUUCAUUAUUAGAAGCUGGAAAUUCUAACUUCAAUGCGUACUCCAAAGCAUCGCCUUCGGGACUUGUGAUCCAAAUUCCUGCUCCACUACCCCCCGUGGUAGAGGAACCGUCUACAUAAACCGUCCACGUCGGUGUAGAACAUGUAGAUUCGUUAAACGUCAUUUCGACGAGAAAAUCCGCAAGGACUUGAGCUUUGAUUGCCGGGCGUGACCGGAACUCUACCCCAUACUCACUCAGUUCGAUCGCCCAUUUGGCCAUCCUCCCCGAUGUUUCAGGACUUUGGAAGAUCUGUUUAAGGGGGAAAUUUGUCAACACCACUACCUGGUGUGAUUGGAAAUAGGGCCGCAAUUUUCGCGCUGCCGUGAUUAAUGCCAAGGCCAGUCGCUCUAUGUUUGAAUAUCUCUGCUCGGCUCCCCGUAGGGCGCGACUGACGUAGUAGAUGGGUUGAUGCCCUCUUUCACCUUCGAGUACUAAGACUGCGCUGAUCGCCUCUGACGUAGUUGCUAAGUACAAUAAAAGUUCGUCUCCUUCCCUUGGUUUGGUCAGGAGGGGAGGUGACGCUAGGUAUUGCUUCAGUUCCUCGAAUGCUUUUUGGCACUCUUCCGUCCACUUGAAAUUCUUCCCCUCCCGCAGCACUCUAAAGAAAGGAAGUCCUUUGUCUGCUGAACGGGAAAUAAAUCGAUUCAGCGCCGCUAAACAACCGUUUAAUUGUUGGACAUUUUUUAUGGAUUUAGGUGGGGCCAUGUUGAUCAGGGCAUCAAUCUUGGCCGGUUUUGCUUCGAUUCCUCGUUGCGAGAUCAUAUAGCCUAGGAAUUUGCCGCCCUUCACUCCGAAGGAGCAUUUCGAAGGAUUUAGUUUCAUUUUGUAUUCUCUGAGAAUAGCGAAGCACUCUUCGAGGUCCUUCAAGUGGUUUUCGGCCUUAGCGCUUUUAACUAACAUAUCAUCGAUAUACACUUCCAUGUUACGCCCAAUUAGAUUAGCGAACAUGGUGUUCACCAGUCGUUGAUAGGUUGCUCCUGCGUUUUUUAGGCCGAAUGGCAUUACCUUGUAGCAAUAAAUGCCUUGGUCGGUAAUGAAACUCGCUUUCUCUUGGUCCUCAGGGGCCAGUUGGAUCUGGUUGUACCCUUGGUAUGCGUCUAAAAAGCUUAACAACUCACAUCCUGAGGUAGAAUCCACCAGCUGAUCGAUUCUUGGGAGAGGGAAAGGAUCUUUAGGACAAGCUUUGUUCAGGUUAGUGAAAUCCACACAUAAGCGCCAUUUUCCCCCUGAUUUCGCCACUAGGACAACAUUUGACAACCAUUCGGGAUAUUGAACCGGACGUAUUUGACCAGCCGCAAGGAGUUUGUCGACCUCCUCUUUGAUGUGUUUAUUACGUUCCGGGCCAAAAGUCCUUUUCUUUUGUUUUACCGGCUUGAGUUUCGGGUCAACGUCAAGCCGAUGAACAAUUUUAGAUGGGGGAAUUCCUUCGAGAUCUUCCGCUCUCCAUGCAAAAACAUCACCGUUUUUCCGAAGGAACUCCACGAGCCUUGUUUCUGCUUCGGGCUCAAGGUUGGUUCCCACUCGGAGUAGUUUGUCUUGAUUGCCCGGGAUCAACUCUACACUUUUCAGUUCUUCUACUGCUGCGAGUCUUGUGCUAUCGGCAUCUUGAUUGGUCGAGGGAGUGAUGAAGUCGUCUUUGACAGCCAUCACCCAUUUUCUCUUCAGAUAAUUGGGAGUGUCAUCUCCUCCUCCCACUUGCUUUGUGUUCCGAACCUGAGGUGCCUUCAAAGUGUUCGCAUAGCAUUCUCGAGCUAUGCGUUGAUCGCCUACGGCUUCUCCGACUCCGCUAGCCGUAGGAAACUUCAACUUCAUAUGAUAGGUUGACGGGACUGCUCUGAAAAGGUUCAUACUCGGCCGCCCCAAAAUGACGUUAUAAGUCGACGGUGCUUUGACGACUAGGAAGUUGACCGUGUUUGUAGCUCGGCACGGGAAUGAUCCCAAGGACAAGACUAAGGAAAUUUCUCCCACAGCUUCGACGGCGUGUCCCGUAAAACCUACUAGGGGUGUUUUCACAGGCGCGAGUUUUGCAUUGGCAAUCCCUAGUUUUUAGAAGGCGUCGUAAUAUAUAAUAUCAGCCGAGCUACCACCGUCCACCAAAAUCUUCUUCACCAAAUAAUUAGAAAUUGAUGCAGAGAUGACUAAAGCGUCGUUGUGUUCACCACGUGGUCCUCUGAGAUCGUCGUCGCUAAAUGUAACCUCUGAGUUUGGGUGGUGAACGUGGUAAAUAUGUCCCUCUGGACGUUCUGUCGUAGAAUACGAGCCUCUUGCUGCCCGAAUUGAUGCUCGUCGUGAGCUAGGAGUGUCACCGCCCGAGGGUCCUCCGGAAAUAACUGCAAUUAUUCCUUGAGUUGGAAGAUUGUCAUCCUCUCGAUCUUUCCUAGGGUUGGGACGUUCUCCUUUAUGCUGGAAGCGGGGUUUGUUUUGGAAUUUUUGGUGUCGUGGCGCAUCCACGAAUUCUCCCAGGUGCCCUUUUUUAAUUAGCCUCUCGAUUUCUUACUUUAGUUGGAAGCACUCGUCGGUAGUGUGUCCCCGAUCUCGAUGGUACUCGCAGUAUUUUUCCGAUUUUUGCCUUUUCGGAUUUUCUUUCAUCUGUCUCGGGGGCUGGACUAGACCUUUCUGCUCCGCUACCAUCCAUACUUCCAUGAGUUUUGCUUUUAGGGGAGUAAACUUUGGGUAGGUAGGGGCGUGGAUCGAACGUCCUUCUUCCUUCCUUUUUGCCUCAUGGCGCUCUUCUUCGCGCUUCCUUUUCACGGGAAGUCCCAUCUCUACGGCCUCUUCUAUCCGGAUGAACUUCUCCGCUCGGUUCAGAAGCUCCUCCAGAGUUUGUGGGGGUCGUCCUGCUAUGGAUUCUUGGAAGCGAACGUGCCUCAAGUUAUGUUGCAGUAUAUCGGCUAGUAGGUCGUGGUUAACAUUGGGUACCUCGUGCACCGCUUUGACAAACCGCUGUACAUAGUCUCUCAAUGGUUCUCCCUCGCGUUGUUUGACUUUGAAGAGGUAUGAUCCGGUUUUGGCGUAUCGCUUGUUGAUGGAAUACUGGCUAAGGAAACGUUCCGAUAACUGGCCCAGGCCAUCCAAUGAUCCUCCUGGCAGACCGUUGAACCAAGUUUGUGCUUGAUCAGUUAAGGUAGUUUGGAAGAUUUUGCAGUAGGCGGCAUCACUGAGGCCGUAAAGGUCGAUCUUAGUGAAGAAAUUGUUAAGGUGAGUUUGAGGAUCUCCGGUUCCAUCGAAUUGGGGCAGAUUGGGGAUCCUAAAUCCGAGCGGUAAAACUUCCUCCAUGAUAGCCGGAAUAAAAGGGCUUAUUCGGGCGGGGAGCGUUCCAAAUCGAGCGGUUGAUCUUGAAGCUUCUUGUCGCGGGCUUCUCGAAUUACGCUUGUUACCAUUCUCGCGGUGCCUUCUCGUCUCUUCAGCCCGAGUGUACCUACUCCCAUGUUCGUCUCGUGGGGAGUUGCCUCGGCGAAAGGAUCGUCCGCGAUGCCUAUCGCCUCGAGGCUCAUGGCGUGUCACACUUGGCCGAGAGGAUCCACUUCUUUCUCGGCGGCCUCGCGCCGCUCUCUCCCUUGAAGGAGCCCGUUGCUUAAGGGGCCGUGGUGACCGACCGCGCGUCUCUCCUCGAGGAGCCUGGUCCGAGGCUGAGCUAUGCUGAUGCGACCGGGGCGGGGCAUACCUACGGGGAGCCCGUUCUGAAGAAAUGCUUCGGUCGCUAAGCGAUACCCUCUCCUCAGAGUCGUGGAGUUCUACGAUGGGCGGGGUCCCGUGGACGUGAGCGGGUUCCGAGGGGUCGCUCUCUGAAAGAAUCGGCUCUUCGAAAUCACUAUGGCCUUGGGCGCUAAUGUACUGAGCUACUGCGUCCGCCGCUGCCCAAGCCGCUGCCUUGGCCGCGGUCUCGUCCAUCAUUGCUUGCAACUCUUCCGUCGUCAUUUGGAUGAUCGGCACUGAAGGUCCCGCCGCGUUGGUUGUUCCCGCCGUCCUCUUUCUUCGAGGCGGAUCCGGGAUCCCACCGCCGGCUCCUUGUUGGGGCGGAUUAAGGCUACCUUGACCACCUCCUCCCGUGUCACGUGAUCGAGUCUGCAUUCCCACAGACGGCGCCAAAAUGAUGCUGCUCAAAUGCCAAUUGGGCAACCCAAGUGUCCUUGAGCCCACAAAGAUAGAGAAUGCCGUGAGUCACUGCCACGUGUCCGAGGUAGUCGAAGGGAUUGCUCCGUUCGUUAACCUACAAAACAAUUGAAACACUAGAUGACACGCCGGGUUUGGCCCGACGAUUAUCCUCCGACGCUCAAGUCAGAAGAUGUAUUAAUAUAAGCAAAUAAUAAUUAUUAAUUGCCAAAUUAGAGUGUACCUUUCUAUGUGAAAUGACACAUACAUUUAUAGGUGGAUGAAUAGGUAGGACUUUUUGUAAAAAUCCGAUGUGGGACAAUGUGUUGUUACUUUUAUAGGUAAAAAGUAAUCUAAUUGAGUUUUCACACAAUUAGAUUAAUUUAGGGCAAUUUGGGCCUAAUCUUAAUUAGGUUUAUGGGCCUAAUUAUGAUUAGACACAUC
rnacentral:lncRNA from 1 species